UCUCUAUUUCAUGCUUCACAAGCUUAACCUCAACAAUAGCUCUCAUUGCUGUAGUUUUAUUAUGGGCAUUCUGCCGGUCUUGCCAUAUCAAGUGCCACCGCAGCACUCUUAACCUCACAUGUUAGGAAUGGAAAGGAAAGGAAAAAUGUGGCCGUGCAGUACUAGUACGAAUCUUAUGACGACUGUAGGGCGGGCCCGUAUACCUUCCCGUUGGCGUCUUCUUUGUUGGCAAUAUAUGCGAAAUCUGAACGAUAUCGUCCUCACAAUAUCGAAAUGAUCUAUAUAUUGCCCAUGUUAGGCCAUUCUCCCGUAAGAAACGGUCUGCAAUGGAAAUCGUGAGCGGGUAGUACCUUUUCGCGGUUAACCAGUGCAGCUGUGCCUGCAGAUGCGGCCGAGAAGUUGGAGGCCCUGAGGAGUCGGAGACUGAAACAAAGGCGUCUAGUUUGCGAACACAACAGUUCUGAGGGAUUUGUAUGGGCUGUGGCUGGCUUGGGUAUAAGUUGAUAUGCUGGGGUGACACGAAGUUCUUGAAGCUGAGAUAAACGGGUAUAUUGUUUGGGAACUCUCCAAAUGCAGAGGCCGAUGGCAGAUACAAGCGAUUGAUAUGAGAGUGCAAAUGAUACUCGUACUCGUACGUAUCAGCAUUAGCACGCGCAAUCUCACGCGUCCACAGAAAAUGCUUUCAAGUUCUUUGGAGGGAAUGAAAUUCCUAGCCUAGUAGCAAUUUGUAGUAGUAGGUGAAGCGCACG
rnacentral:sRNA from 2 species